UGGACUGGUGGUCCUGGGUUCUAUAUGAAAGCAGGCUGAGCAAGUCAGUAAGCAGCGCCCCUACAUGGCCUCAGCAUCAGCUCCUGCCUCCAGGUUCCAGCCCUACAUGAGUUUCUAUCCUGACUUUCUUCAGGAAUGGACUAUGAUGUGGAAGUCUAUGCCAAAUAAACCAUUUCCUUCUCAACUUGCUUUUGUCAUAGUCAUAGUGUUUCAUCACAUCAAUGAUAACCCAAACUAAGGCAGAAGUUGGUACUAGGAUAGUGGAGUACCGCUGUGACAGACUUGAUCAUGUUAUUUGGGGGAGGACUGUGGUAG